rnacentral:rRNA from 1 species
GACAGAGGGUGCAAACGUUGUUCGGAAUUACUGGGCGUAAAGGGCGUGUAGGCGGCCAUGCAAGUCGGGUGUGAAAUCCCGCGGCUCAACCGUGGAAGUGCAUCCGAAACUGCGCGGCUCGAGUCUCGGAGAGGAAGGUGGAAUGCUUGGUGUAGAGGUGAAAUUCGUAGAUAUCAAGCGGAACACCGGUGGCGAAGGCGACCUUCUGGACGAUGACUGACGCUGAGACGCGAAAGCGUGGGGAGCAAACAGGAUUAGAAACCCUGGUAGU